AAGAAAAAAGAGAAAACAAAAGAGAAUCGCCAGAAGAAGAAGAAGAUUGCUGAUCCUAACAAACCGAAGAAACCCGCAUCCUCAUUCCUUCUAUUCAGCAAAGAGGCAAGGAAGAACUUGUUGGAAGAGAGGCCGGGAAUUAAUGACUCUACCCUUAAUGCCCUCAUUUCAGUGAAAUGGAAGGAAUUGAGUGAAGAAGAUAAGCAAACCUGGAAU